CCUACGGGAGGCAGCAGUGAGGAAUAUUGGUCAAUGGGCGCAAGCCUGAACCAGCCAUCCCGCGUGCAGGAUGACGGCCCUAUGGGUUGUAAACUGCUUUUAUACACCAAGAAAAAUCCCGACGUGUCGGGACCCGACGGUAGUGUAUGAAUAAGCAUCGGCUAACUCCGUGCCAGCAGCCGCGGUAAUACGGAGGAUGCAAGCGUUAUCCGGAUUCAUUGGGUUUAAAGGGUGCGUAGGCGGCUUUUUAAGUCAGUGGUGAAAUCCUGCCGCUUAACGGUAGAAUUGCCAUUGAUACUGACAAGCUUGAGUACAUUUGAGGUAAGCGGAAUGUGUAGUGUAGCGGUGAAAUGCUUAGAUAUUACACAGAACACCAAUUGCGAAGGCAGCUUACUAAACUGAUACUGACGCUGAUGCACGAAAGCGUGGGGAGCGAACAGGAUUAGAUACCCUGGUAGUCCACGCCGUAAACGAUGCUCACUCGCUGUUUGCGAUACACAGCAAGCGGCCAAGCGAAAGCAUUAAGUGAGCCACCUGGGGAGUACGAUCGCAAGGUUGAAACUCAAAGGAAUUGACGG
rnacentral:rRNA from 1 species